rnacentral:rRNA from 1 species
AGAGUUUGAUCAUGGCUCAGAAUCAACGCUAGCGGCGUGCCUCAGACAUGCAAGUCGAACGCGAACGCUUCCUUCGGGAAGCUAUUAGAGUGGCGCACGGGUGAGUAACACGUAAGUAAUCUACCUUUGGGUGGGGAAUAACAGUCGGAAACGGCUGCUAAUACCGCAUAAUGCAGCGGCUCCGUAUGGAGACAGUUGUUAAAGAAUUUAUUCGCCUAAAGAGGAGCUUGCGGUAGAUUAGCUAGUUGGUGAGGUAAUGGCUCACCAAGGCAACGAUCUAUAGCCGACCUGAGAGGGUGGUCGGUCACACUGACACUGAAUAACGGGUCAGACUCCUACGGGAGGCAGCAGUCGGGAAUUUUGGGCAAUGGGCGAAAGCCUGACCCAGCAACGCCGCGUGAAGGAUGAAGUAUUUCGGUAUGUAAACUUCGUAAAAAUGGGAAGAAUCAAUGACGGUACCAUUUGUAAGGUCCGGCUAACUACGUGCCAGCAGCCGCGGUAAUACGUAGGGACCAAGCGUUGUUCGGAUUUACUGGGCGUAAAGGGUGCGUAGGUGGUUUAUCAAGUCAGUUGUGAAAUCUUAAGGCUUAACCUUAAGCGGUCAACUGAAACUGAUAAACUAGAGUGCAGAAGGGGCAAUCGGAAUUCUUGGUGUAGCGGUGAAAUGCGUAGAUAUCAAGAGGAACACCAGAGGCGAAGGCGGAUUGCUAGGCUGACACUGACACUGAGGCAACGAAAAGCUAGGGGACGCGAACGGGGAUUAGAUACCCCGGUAGUCCUAGCCCUAAACCGAUGAAUACUUGGGUGUCUGGGCAGGUUUUAAUUUCUCCCGGGGUGACCGGUAACUUAAACGUUGUUAAAGUAUUCCGCCUGGGCGGAAGUAACGUAAACGACAAAGUUAUUGGAAACUUCCAAAGGGAACUUGGACGGGGGAACCCGGA